rnacentral:misc_RNA from 1 species
CAGAAAUGGAGCGAGCUGUUUCAAGUCUUGAAAGUAAUUAUUUACAAAAAGAAUAAAGCCAGCACUACAUAUUCAAUCCAAGGCAAUAGAUGUUUAAGAAUUUAGAGGAUCAAAAAAGAAAAGAAAAGAAAAGAAAACAGUAUCCUCUUUAUCUUCUCAAACAAUUACAAACACAUUCCUAUUGACUGCACUCCAUCACUGGAUAACAUAAGCCCUCAUGCCUACACUGGGAACAGAUUUUGGCUCCCAUCAGAUAAUUGUAAGUUUCCAAUCAAAAGCAACUUCAAAAUUAGCAAGAGAGCAUCCAAACAAUUCACAAUCACCCAUGUAGAUGCCAUGCUAAUAUCAGCAGAUAAACAAACUACCUAUCAUCAUUGGCGUGAUUCCUUAGGUGUGACGUAGCUUCUGCUUUCAGUGACAUUAGAGUUGGCAAGGACCUCUGGUGCAAUUUCCCAGCUCCCACUUCUCCUUCCCCAACUGGAAUGUCUAGUGUCUGACCGAAUUGUGGGAGCUCGAUGAUCUGAACUAUGAACUGAAUCCACCUCCGAGGUAUUAUGGGGAGGCCCAUUGCUUCCCCUGCUGCGUAUGUCCUCAUCAAUUUCUUCAAUAUUACGACGUUGAGAAAUUUUCAAUAGAUCUUCACCAAUCUCUAGAUCAUCUUCAACCUUCGGACGUGGAUCCCCACCUGUCUCUUCUGGUUCUGCUUCCCGAGUACUGGGCAAAGGGGGCCUUGGUACCUCCUCUUGAACAAAUGCACGAAAGUUGUUCUUUGAGGGCUUAACCUCUGUGCAAAAUACUUCAAAAAAAUUAUGAAAACAACCCAGGUUGUACA